rnacentral:rRNA from 1 species
GACGAACGCUGGCGGUGUGCCUAAUACAUGCAAGUCGAGCGGACAGAAGGGAGCUUGCUCCCGGAAGUUAGCGGCGGACGGGUGAGUAACACGUGGGCAACCUACCCUGUAGAUCGGGAUAACAUCGAGAAAUCGGCGCUAAUACCGGAUAAUCAUUUGAAGUGCAAGCUUCGAAUGUAAAAGAUGGCUCCGGCUAUCACUACGGGAUGGGCCCGCGGCGCAUUAGCUGGUUGGUAAGGUAAUGGCUUACUAAGGCAACGAUGCGUAGCCGACCUGCGAGGGUGAUCGGCCACACGGGGACUGAGACACGGCCCAGACUCCUACGGGAGGCAGCAAGAGGGAAUCUUCCUCAAUGGACGAAAGUCUGACGGAGCAACGCCGCGUGAGUGAGGAAGGUUUUCGGAUCGUAAGGCUCUGUUGUUAGGGAAGAACAAGUGCCGUUUGAAUAAGGCGGCACCUUGACGGUACCUAACCAGAAAGCCACGGCUAACUACGUGCCAGCCGCCGCAGUAACAC